rnacentral:rRNA from 1 species
AUUGAACGCUGGCGGCAUGCCUUACACAUGCAAGUCGAACGGUAACAGGUCUUCGGAUGCUGACGAGUGGCGAACGGGUGAGUAAUACAUCGGAACGUGCCUAGUAGUGGGGGAUAACUACUCGAAAGAGUGGCUAAUACCGCAUGAGAUCUACGGAUGAAAGCAGGGGAUCGCAAGACCUUGUGCUACUAGAGCGGCCGAUGGCAGAUUAGGUAGUUGGUGGGAUAAAAGCUUACCAAGCCGACGAUCUGUAGCUGGUCUGAGAGGACGAUCAGCCACAAUGGGACUGAGACAAGGCCCAGACUCCUACGGGAGGCAGAAGUGGGGAAUUUUGGACAAUGGGCGCAAGCCUGAUCCAGCAAUGCCGCGUGCAGGAUGAAGGCCUUCGGGUUGUAAACUGCUUUUGUACGGAACGAAAAGCCCCGGGUUAAUACCCUGGGGUCAUGACGGUACCGUAAGAAUAAGCACCGGCUAACUACGUGCCAGCCGCCGCAGUAA